rnacentral:tRNA from 1 species
AGUUAAUUAGCUUAAAUAAAGCAUUUACUUUGAAAGUAAGGGAUAGAAAACAUAAUUUAUUAACUU